UGGGGGAAUUUUGGACAAUGGGCGAAAGCCUGAUCCAGCAAUGCCGCGUGUGUGAAGAAGGCCUUCGGGUUGUAAAGCACUUUUGUCCGGAAAGAAAUCCUUGGCUCUAAUACAGUCGGGGGAUGACGGUACCGGAAGAAUAAGCACCGGCUAACUACGUGCCAGCAGCCGCGGUAAUACGUAGGGUGCAAGCGUUAAUCGGAAUUACUGGGCGUAAAGCGUGCGCAGGCGGUUUGCUAAGACCGAUGUGAAAUCCCCGGGCUCAACCUGGGAACUGCAUUGGUGACUGGCAGGCUAGAGUAUGGCAGAGGGGGGUAGAAUUCCACGUGUAGCAGUGAAAUGCGUAGAGAUGUGGAGGAAUACCGAUGGCGAAGGCAGCCCCCUGGGCCAAUACUGACGCUCAUGCACGAAAGCGUGGGGAGCAAACAGGAUUAGAUACCCUGGUAGUCCACGCCCUAAACGAUGUCAACUAGUUGUUGGGGAUUCAUUUCCUUAGUAACGUAGCUAACGCGUGAAGUUGACCGCCUGGGGAGUACGGUCGCAAGAUUAAAACUCAAAUGAAUUGACGGGUCAUAGCUGUUUCCU
rnacentral:rRNA from 1 species